GAUGAACGCUAGCGACAGGCUUAACACAUGCAAGUCGAGGGGCAGCACGGGAGUAGCAAUACAACUGGUGGCGACCGGCGCACGGGUGAGUAACGCGUACGCAACCUACCUAUCAGAGGGGAAUAACCCGGCGAAAGUCGGACUAAUACCGCAUAAAACAGGGGCACCGCAUGGUGAUAUUUGUUAAAGAAAUUCGCUGAUAGAUGGGCAUGCGUUCCAUUAGGUAGUUGGUGAGGUAACGGCUCACCAAGCCGACGAUGGAUAGGGGAACUGAGAGGUUGGUCCCCCACACUGGUACUGAGACACGGACCAGACUCCUACGGGAGGCAGCAGUGAGGAAUAUUGGUCAAUGGGCGGGAGCCUGAACCAGCCAAGUCGCGUGAAGGAAGAAGGAUCUAUGGUUCGUAAACUUCUUUUGCAGGGGAAUAAAGUGCAGGACGUGUCCUGUUUUGUAUUGUACCCUGAGAAUAAGGAUCGGCUAACUCCGUGCCAGCAGCCGCGGUAAUACG
rnacentral:rRNA from 1 species